rnacentral:rRNA from 1 species
AUUGAACGSUGGCGGCAUGCCUUACACAUGCAAGUCGAACGGUAACGCGGGGCAACCUGGCGACGAGUGGCGAACGGGUGAGUAAUAUAUCGGAACGUGCCCAAUUGUGGGGGAUAACGUAGAGAAAUUUACGCUAAUACCGCAUACGAUCUAAGGAUGAAAGCGGGGGAUCGCAAGACCUCGCGCAAUUGGAGCGGCUGAUAUCAGAUUAGGUUGUUGGUGAGGUAAAAGCUCACCAAGCCGACGAUCUGUAGCUGGUUUGAGAGAACGACCAGCCACACUGGGACUGAGACACGGCCCAGACUCCUACGGGAGGCAGCAGUGGGGAAUUUUGGACAAUGGGCGCAAGCUGKAUCCAACAAUGCCGCGUGCAGGAAGCAAGGCCUUCGGGUUGUAAACUGCUUUUGUACGGAACGAAACGGUCCUUUCUAAUAUAAGGGGCUAAUGACGKUACCGUAAGAAUAAGCACCGGCUAACUACGUGC